rnacentral:rRNA from 1 species
GGACCCAAUACUGACGCUGAGGUGCGAAAGCGUGGGGAGCCAAACCAGGAUUAGAUACCCCUGGUAGUCCCACGCCGUAAAACGGAUGUCCAACUAGCCGUUGGGGAUAUUAAAAUCUUUAGUGGCGCAGCUAACCGCGAUAAAGUUGACCCGCCUGGGGAGUACGGUCCGCAAGAUUAAAACUCCAAAGGAAUUGACGGGGGCCCGCACAAGCCGGUGGAGCAUGUGGUUUAAUUCGAUGCAACGCGAAGAACCUUACCAAUCCUUGACAUCCUCAGAACUUGUUAGAAAUAACUUGGUGCCUUCGGGAAUUGAGUGACAGGUGCUGCAUGGCUGUCGUCAGCUCGUGUCGUGAGAUGUUGGGUUAAGUCCCGUAACGAGCGCAACCCUUGUCCUUAGUUGCCAGCAUGAAGUUGGGCACUCUAGAGGGACUGCCAGGGAUAACCUGGAGGAAGGUGGGGAUGACGUCAAAUCAUCAUGCCCCUUAUGCUUAGGGCUACCACACGUGCUACAAUGGGUGGUACAGAGGGCAGCCAAGUCGUG